GUUGAAAUGUUACUAUAGUUACGCUUGAUUUUAUUGAGCACUAUGUACUGUAUGAUAAACACAAAUGUAAUAUAUACUUCACUGUAUCUCUCAUAAUUUCGCGCAUUUGAAAGAUUUUUAAUACAAGCGCGCAAAUGUAAUUACAAUCAAACUGACUAACAGUGGUGACUUCCCUUUAAUAAUUUUACACCAUUUGCUGUCAACGAAGGUGUUGUCAUCAGUUGUUGAAAAUAUGAAAUAUUCAUGUUGGUUUUACUAGUUCUACGGUAGAUGUGUAUGCAAUUCCACAUCUGAGCACUGUAAGGUCUGGCAGCAAAAUAAAGAUAUAUUCAAAUGGAUCUUGUGCUGUGUCUCACAUCUGACAUCAUACUAGAAAAGGGUCAUGUAAACGUAACAAAAAGUCAUGCGAAUGGACAUCAAAAUGUUGACACAGAUCGGUAUUUGAGACUUAAAUCUUCAGGAUAUAACUUCAUAAAACUGGCGGAUAAAUCAAACUGCGAAGGUUCUUUCGAAUGGCGAGUAAAACAGUUGUGUCUCUUCGUAGGAACGAUGAUACAAUAUUUACGUAUGCACUCAAAUGAUGCUGUUCGAGGUAACAAGAAGAAGUUAACAUUUGGCAGUGUGAGAAAGGAAAUUUACUUCUGCAUGACGGGAAAAUGAUGUUUGCAUGCAUAUUUUAUCGGAGGCAGCUGCAAAACCACCAACAGGAAACUCUUUUUGAUAUUAUGUUGUGAUAGACUGUUUGACGGUUUUCGGCCCGCUUUGGCGAGACGGUAUUACGAUAGUUUUAUACGAAAAUCUGCGAUAAAGUCCGGAAAUCUCGCUUGUGGAGAGAAGAAACUCGAUUAUGAUGUUCCCGCGAAGGAAAAAAAUCUUGCGUCGAACCAGAAGUUGUGUGAAUAUUUUUUCUUGAGGAAUGUUGUCAGUGCAGUAUACAAAUUGAAAGAAUGACUUAUUUUCCGUGACAAGUUCUGUUUCUUUUUACGACGAAAAUGCUACCAACAUAUCAAGGAUAUCUGUUAUAUAAUUUGAGCCAAAAAGAAUGCAUCACACGAAAGGAAUGUAUUUCUACAGAGCCAAAACUGCGAACUAUUAGAAUCCGUUAUUUUCUGUCAUUUUUUUUCGCGCCAUUUUCCUAUUUGUUGAUGUCUGUAUACCUACUGAAUUGCAAUUUUGCACUUUUGAAACAAAUAUUUUUAAAAUGCAGAAUUUAAUUGAAUCCUGAUUUUUCAAAACGAAGGACAUUCAGCUAUUAAAAUGAUAAGAUCUCGUAUGCUUGAUUUAUUGUAAGACCGAUUCAGCCUUAAUUUGUUCGAAAAUUGAAGUAGAUUGACAGUUUUCAUACUUCAACAGUGUUUCUGUUAUGUAAUGACGGACAGUUAACCAAACCAGUGUUCAUUUAUUUUGUACCUGUACAAACUUGUUCUCCGCAAGUAACUGCCAACUUCCCCACAUGAAUCAGAGGUGGAGGACAAUGAUUUCAGGUACA